CCUACGGGAGGCAGCAGUAAGGAAUAUUGGUCAAUGGACGAAAGUCUGAACCAGCCAUGCCGCGUGAAGGAUGACGGCCCUCUGGGUUGUAAACUUCUUUUAUAUGGGACGAAAAAAGGGAAUUCUUUCUCACUUGACGGUACCAUAGGAAUAAGCACCGGCUAACUCCGUGCCAGCAGCCGCGGUAAUACGGAGGGUGCAAGCGUUAUCCGGAUUCACUGGGUUUAAAGGGUGCGUAGGUGGGUAGGUAAGUCAGUGGUGAAAUCUCCGAGCUUAACUCGGAAACUGCCAUUGAUACUAUGUAUCUUGAAUUUUUUGGAGGUGAGCGGAAUAUGUCAUGUAGCGGUGAAAUGCUUAGAUAUGACAUAGAACACCAAUUGCGAAGGCAGCUCACUACGAAAUUAUUGACACUGAGGCACGAAAGCGUGGGGAUCAAACAGGAUUAGAUACCCUGGUAGUCCACGCCCUAAACGAUGGAUACUCGACAUCAGCGAUACACUGUUGGUGUCUGAGCGAAAGCAUUAAGUAUCCCACCUGGGAAGUACGAACCGCAAGGUUGAAACUCAAAGGAAUUGACGG
rnacentral:rRNA from 1 species